CUACGGGCGGCAGCAGGCGCGGAACCUUUACAAUGCACGAAAGUGUGAUAAGGGAAUCCCAAGUGCCUUGCUUUUAGCAAGGCUUUUGCCAUAUGUAAAAAGUAUGGCGAAUAAGUGGUGGGUAAGACUUGUGCCAGCCGCCGCGGUAACACCAGCGCCACAAGUGGCAACCGCUUUUAUUGGGCCUAAAGCGUCCGUAGCCGGUUCAGUAAAUUUUCUGUGAAAUCGUUGGGCUUAACCUAACGUCGUGCAGGAAAGACUACUGGACUAGGGACCGGGAGGCGUCAGAGGUAUUCCUGAGGGAGCGGUAAAAUGCUAUAAUCUCAGGAGGACCACCGAUGGCGAAGGCAUCUGACGAGAACGGAUCCGACGGUCAGGGACGAAAGCUAAGGGAGCAAACCGGAUUAGAUACCCGAGUAGUC
rnacentral:rRNA from 1 species